rnacentral:sRNA from 1 species
UUCCUUAUCUGAGAAAAUCUAUUCAGUAACAACCACCAACAGAAGAACUACAGGUGAUGAAGGCAGUUUUGUUUUUCUUUCUCUCUCUCUCUCUCUCUCUCUCUCUUUUUUUUUGAGAGAGAAAGAGAGAGAGAGAGAGAGAGAGAGAGAAUUUUUUUAUAUUUAUUUUUUAGUUUUCGGUGGACACAACAUCU